rnacentral:miRNA from 1 species
AUCAGACUUGUUACAAGGUUGUUCUAACAAGUCUGAUACAGUCAUGAUAUAACAAGAAUGUUACAAGGUUGACGACACAAGGUUGUAACCGCAAUAUUGUUAUAUCAUGACUGCAUCGGACUUGUUAGAACAACCUUGCCACAUUAAGUCUGAU